UCCAACCACCCAGAUCUGACGACACCAGGAGACGCACACAAAAAAACACCGUGAGCAGCAGGAUGAGAGUUAAAAAGCAGGAAAAACACUGUUUGUCAUCAUGUCUGCAUAAAUACAACCGUUACACACCUCUAGUAGGUCAAUUUAAUCAGAUCUGUGACAUUUUAUUCACCUAAAGUCACAAAAAUGCCUUUUUAUCUGUCCUGCAGCAGGUUCUAAAGCUACCUGCAUAAAUCUAGACUACUCAUGACUCCAUGGCCUCCUAUUGGCUGCAGGUGUGGCUUCUACAGCCAAUCAGAACAUCACCUACUGGAUGAUGCCGAUAAAUUUACGCUGCAUCUUUGUGCUGAGUCAGUAUCAGCUGCAGCUGGAGAUGUCAGAGUUUACACAGAUGUACAUAAUCUAUAUAUAUAUAUAUGUUCUCUGUGGGGGAGAAAGCUUCACAUGCAGAAAAAAAACUGCUUUAUAAUACACUGACAGAAUAAAGGAAUGACAAGAAAAAGCUAAAAAUGCACUGAAGGAAAGCGGGAAGCACAAAUGCAGCUUUACACCAAACUGAAGGAACAGAGAGAACUACAAAAACGGCCUUGUAACACACUGGAGGUAAGAAGGACCCACAAAACAAUCGACUUUAGAACACACUGAUAGGAAUACAGAACCACUAAACAGCUAAAAAUACAAUGAAGGAAUAAAGAACCACUAAGAGUAGCUUUAUAAUAAACUGAAGGAGCCUCCAAAAUCAGAACUUGGGUUCUUUAAAGUUUCUCCUUCUUCACCUUGUAGACAUCCUCCACACAUCGAGUCAGUUCUGAUUCUUCUACAGCAACUUGAGAAUCCUCCUGGUCUGGAAACACAGAAAAAGACCUUAAAUCAUCCAUCUGCUGUUACUGUGACAAGAUGAUGACAGCUACAAACCCAGAAAGUACAUCUUCAAACAGACUUUUAGACGCUGACCUGAGGACAGAUGUUCCUGAAGUAGGCAUCUGCAGAUGUGGACUGCUGAGGACAGGCGACCAGGAUCCGAGCCACAGCGUCACAUUUCCUCCAGUCAGAGUCGCCCCCUGCAGGACAGAAGCAGCGCUGCAGAGCUGAGCCUCACCUGUUCCUCCCUCCAGAACAGCUCUGACGACAGCCUGGACGCCGUUGGGCUGCAUCAGACGCUCAGACAGCAGCUGACCACACAGACGCCUCAACCAGGCUGGAGCUGAUCCCAGACCUGCCCUGCUGCUGCUGGACCCACCGGAGGUCACGGCUGCAGCAGACUGCAGAACAGCAGAGGUAAAGAGAGACGGAACAUUUAAACUGGAGGAUCCGAGUGAAACCUGCUUCAUGAGACACUUUUUCCUAGAACGGGAUGAAGAUACACAGGAGUUUACUGAGUUUAAAGCAGAGAAAGGUCAGUCACAGCUGGAAAUAAGAAGUAUUUAUGACCAGACAGGGAAACGAGGACAACGGGCUCUUCUGAAGAAUCACAAUAUUCUUUGGUUAUUUUCAUGAAACAUUAGUCCACUGAGUCUGCACAUAAUGUCCUCCAAAAUAACUGGAAACAUGUCCCCAGAAAAUGUCUCAAAUGGCUUGAAACUUGUCCAAAAUUACUUGGAAAUAUGUUUAAAAAUCACACAAAAAAAUAUCCAAAAUAACUUGAAACGUGUCUCAAAUUAAUAAGCAAUGUAAAAAAUGUCUCCAAAGAUGUAGAAAAUGAUUCAAAAUGUGUCCAGAAUUAUUUAAAAUAUGUCCAAAAUGACCAAAAAACUCUCCAAAUAAGUUUAACCAUGUCCUAAAUUACUCAAAACACAUGAAAAUUCAUAUUUCUUACAUUUGAAAGAGUUAUUUUUUUUAAUUAAUUGUGUAUUUCUAAAAAAGAAUAACAUAAAACACACUGUAUGUUUCAUUUUUACAAAUAAAGAAAAUGGUUUAAUUUAUUCCAGCAUUUUUACCAUUAACAAGCUUUAUUCCCUUUUUCUAAUGUUAUUAUAAACAUAUAUUAUCUGGUAGAUGAUACAUUUUAAGGCUUUCUAUAAAGAAUGCAAAAUUGAACAUGUAGCAGCAAAAAUAAAAAUACUGUGACGCUUUGCAGGAAGUUUUUAGCAGCUAUAGGUUGGUUUGAAACAAAGACGUUAAUGAUUAAUUGAUUAAUUGCCACAUGACACAUGAGCACCAAAGGCAGAAGAUGAAGGACUUGCCUGUCAGAAAAAAAAACUGAGUUUAGUAAUUUUAUUAUUGAAGUGAGUUCAUCUCAAACUGAACUGAUUCCUGAAACAUUAAACCUGCAUUAACUUCAUAUUUAGAUAUUUAUCAGAAUAAAACCGGGCGGUGUUCUCCACCUGCUUGGGUCCUCCCUGGAGGAUCAGCAGCUCCUUGACGACGAUCGGCUGGUAGACUUUAGCCAGCAGCUUCCUGAGGGCCUCUUUACACGAUCGGCACUCUUCAACUGUGAGCGGCUGCAGAGGAAAAGAAGCAAGAAAAUAACAACAGACAUCAAAACUAGAAAAGCACUCAGAGAGUGCAGACCUCCACCAAGGAUAGAGAGGAAAACUGGAAACCCAUGCAGUAAAGGAUCAUGAGCUGGAAUCAAACCUGCAUCUCUGACACAGUUCUGUUUACGAAUCACCUUCUUGACCAGUUGAGCUAUCUGGACACCUUGUUCCAAUUUGUUGGACGACAUACUAACCUAUGAUGUUUUUGUCCUAUUUUGGACCACAUACUAAAAAAUUCAAAGUGAUCCAGAAUCCAGGAUCCUUUCCGGAUUGCCACCAAAAUGAAAUCAGCUCUUCCUCUUACCAUAGUCUACAUCCCCUCAGAAUUUCGUCUGAAUCUGCCCCGGCGUUUUUCAGUUAUCUUGCUGACAGACAGACAGACACACAAACGCCGGGUGUCACAUAACCUCCUUGGUGGAGGUAAAUAUCUGCUAACACAUCGCGUGGUCUUUACAGGAGAUAUUCUGAUUUCUAAUUUAAAGGAAAAGCAGCACUUCUUUUAAAUCACUUCUUAAAACCCACUUUUAUAGAUUUGCUUUUAUGUGAAGUUUAUUUUUAGUUUUAGUGUUUUAUUCUGUGUUUAUUUUAGAGGUUUUAUUUUAAUUUUAACUGCCAGGUUCUCUGAUGUGAUGUUGUCUCUCUGAUUCUUUAAUUUGCUAAUUUUUUGACUUUUAAGUUUAACAUUCAGUUUUGUUCUUUAAUUUUCAAACUACUUCAUUCUCUUGUUUGAUAUGCGUGCCAAUCUGGCUAAUUAUUCAUUUAAUUUAUGCUCAUUUUUACUCUUUAUUUUAAUUGACUGCUCUGACUUGUCUCCUACAGACAGACAAAAGUUUUAGGACACUUUCUCAUUCAAAUAAAGUAGAACCUGUCCUACAGCUUUUGACAGGGGGUGUAUCUACCACAUUUGGUACACAUAUGCAGCACAUCAGGCUGAACAAAAAGUCAGUGACAGCCACAUUCCAAACCCAACAGGAAGUGAGCUGUUUUGCGUUGAAUGUCAGAUUUGGCCCAUUUUUCAUUUAUUCUAGAGCGAACUCCUCCUAGGGGGAAACUCCAAUUCACCUCAAAUUGGGCCAGUACAUACAGGAGGCCUUAAUGAUCCAAAGUUAUUAAAAUCUUUUUCCAAAGUCAAAGGGUGUGUCUGUGGCAGCCUCUGGAAUUUUGAUCCUUCGCCAUGAAAUUUCAAAUGCUGUGUAAAUGCCCUGAACAUGCUCCAAUCUGCCUGAAACUUUACAUGUAUGACCAGAGUCCUGCCCUGAUCACAUCCAUAUGAUAAAAUACACCCCCUGUCAAAAAUUGAAGGACAGGUCCUACUUUAUUUGAACGAGACAGUGUCCUAAAACUUUGGACAGGGGGUGUAGAUAGAUAGAGAGAUAGAGACUUUAUUAAUCAUGAGGGAAAUUCAAGUGUUCAGCAGCUGACAAACAACAAUAUAAAAUAACAAAAAAGCAGGUUAGUAACAUUAAAGGUUAGUAUACUCUGAUCUUGCUUCACAAUACUAUACUACAAAAACGCUUCUAAUUAUAAAAUCCAUAGAAUACUAACUGUAAUUAAAAUCCAAUAUACAGUAUUCACACGGUGAUUUAAAGUGAACUGGAGUGAUUUAAAGUGAUUUUGACAGGCAGUAGCUUGGUUGUCUGUUUGCAUGUUUUAACUGUCAAAAGCACCUUGUGAACAGGUGGUAUAUAAAUAAAGUUCUUAUUAUUA